AUGUAAUAUUGAAAACUUUUUAAUUACACCACUGUAUAGAUUAUUUUCGUUUCAGGCUUCAUCUUUCUUUCUCACUCUCGCCGUAGUGGGGAAGACCAUCGCAGAUCUUCGACGCCUCGUCUCCUACGUUCUUGGCUUCUACAAAAUCUCCGACGAGAUCCUCGUCAACACCGUCGACAACAAACAGCGAGAUCCUCCAUGGCAAUCCUCAAGGUCACCAUCGAUGCCAAGCGGAACACCAUAUCUGUCUUCAACAACGGCGAUGCCAUAGCCGUCGAGAUCCCCAAACUCAUUUGCGGCCACUUUCUCACUGACAGCAACGAUGACGACAAGGUCAAGAAGACCACCGGUGGACGCAACGGCUACAGUGCGAAUCUCACCAACAUCUUCUCCACCAAGUUCAUCAUCAAAAUCGCCGACGGAAAGCGUAAGAAGAAAUAUAAACAGUCCUAGGGUUUUCCACCUACAGCUCCCUCCCACACGCCACCGCUUCCUUCCAUCUCAGGGCUUUGUCUACCUCCGUCACCGAUAAGCCCUCCGUUUGCACAGCCGACGAACUCCAUUAUGUCUCCCUCUCAAAUUUCGAUUAGAAACUCGCUCUCUGGAACUAUAACCUUUCACUUCUCGGAGUCAAUCAGGCAACAGUGGCAAAGCUAGGUUCACUGUGGACAACCCUGUCACCCUAGUGGCUGGAAAGAACACAAAUGAUCUCUUGAGUUUAACUGUGGAACUUCAGAACUAUGGAGCAUUUUUUGACUUAUCAGGAGCGGGGAUCACUCGUCCAGUGGUACUGAAAGGUUUGGAGAAUGCCAAUACACUUGAUCUCUCCUCCCAGAAGUGGACAUAUCAAGUCAGUUUUCUCAUUUGGUUAAACUCCAUUCUUUCUCCUUUGUAUAUAACUUAAUCAAAUAAACAUUGGUGAGAUUCAUGUAUGCUUAAGUGUACUUGUAUAUGGGGCAUGGGUUUAAGUUUCUAUUUCAUGAUUGUAACUUUCGACUUUUAAGUUUUAAUUGGAAAGAUAUGUAGCAGCAUCAUAUUUUGGCUUUA